AAAUUGAAGAGUUUGAUCAUGGCUCAGAUUGAACGCUGGCGGCAGGCCUAACACAUGCAAGUCGAACGGUAACAGGAAACAGCUUGCUGUUUCGCUGACGAGUGGCGGACGGGUGAGUAAUGUCUGGGAAACUGCCUGAUGGAGGGGGAUAACUACUGGAAACGGUAGCUAAUACCGCAUAACGUCGCAAGACCAAAGAGGGGGACCUUCGGGCCUCUUGCCAUCGGAUGUGCCCAGAUGGGAUUAGCUUGUU
rnacentral:rRNA from 1 species